CUGAGAAAAACACCUGAGAAAUCUCACAUGUGCCUCCUUUAGAGUUUCAUAAAAGAUCUCAACAAUUUCUUAAACUGUGCUCAAAUCUUUCA